rnacentral:rRNA from 1 species
UAAGGAAUAUUGCUCAAUGGGAGAAAUCCUGAAGCAGCAACGCCGCGUGGAGGAUGAAGGGUCUAUGACUUGUAAACUCCUGUAAAGAAGGAAAAAAUUCCCAUUUGAUGGGAGAUGAUGGUACUUCUGGAGUAAGCCCCGGCUAACUACGUGCCAGCAGCCGCGGUAAUACGUAGGGGGCAAGCGUUGUCCGGAUUUACUGGGUGUAAAGGGUGCUCAGGCGGAUUUGUAAGUCAGAGGUGAAAUCUUACAGCUUAACUGUGAAACUGCCUUUGAUUCUGCAAACCUAGAGUAUGGAAGAGAGUGAUGGAAUAUCUGGUGGAGCAGUGAAAUGCGUAGAUAUCAGAUAGAACACCAAUGGCGAAGGCAGUCACUUGGUCCAUUACUGACGCUAAAGCACGAAAGCGUGGGUAG